UUCGCUAGGGAUCUUGGUUUAGGAUUCCUUUUCCACUCAAGAGGAGAUUCUGAAGAAAGUAACAAGAUUGAGGUGUUCAAAGGUAAGAGUGAAGCAAUCUGGGGAAAAUUUUUUUAGGUUGCAGGUUAUGCCAUUGCAGUGUAAUAAUACUUUCAUAUCAAAAUCUAAUUUUCUCUUACCUUGAUCUCAGCCAAAGCAUGAAGGGCUUAAAGAACGCUGAAUCUAAGCAAAAGCAGCAUCAGAAAACCAGAUCCCAUUUCUCUUUGCCGAAGCUCUAUCCUGACCUGUGAGUCUGGAAGCAUCAAGUAUCAACUCAUCUAUGAAUUUGAGGUUUAAGACUUCGAUUCAAAAGUUUUCACCUCGAUCUGCUGAGGCGGUUUUCAAGGCCUUUUUCCUUAUUAAUCUAGGAAAGGUAUUUAUUCCAGACUCUAUGGUUACACAUGCAUAACGAAGUUACAUGGUAAAUGAUCCAAUUAGUUUAGAAAAAUAUCAUGAAUCACAAGCAAUAUUGAUAACCAGAACAUAUGUCGACACUGUAUAGAGCAAAUAUUCAGAACUAAGACUUUACAGACAAAAUGAACAAAUCCUAAGAAGCAGUUACAAAGAAAUCUUAAAAGGUAAAAAUUGAGAGAAAUUUAACAAGCAGUUUGAUAUUUUCUUUUAUAAGUAGGAGUACUGAUUGAACAAAAUGACUUUACAUAUGCAAUUUAAGACCUCCAAGCAAAUAGACUCAAAACACAUAAACUGAUAAAUUCAUACCAUUCUGCGCUAUGCAAACACAACACCAUUCUGCGCUAUGCAAACACAACACACUAGACUAUUCUUCUUCAAACGCUUUCAACCAGUCACAAGUGCCAUGUGUUUAUUUUUGUAUGAAGUAACCAUCCUUAUGUUGUGCUUCCUUAACUUCGGCAACAGCAACAAACAAAUGGUGAUGCAAUCUGAACAGCCCGUCUGGAUGUUUCAAUCAUGGGGCGUUCGAAAGGGGCUACCUUCGCAUUCUCAAUAAGUAGAUU
rnacentral:lncRNA from 1 species